rnacentral:rRNA from 1 species
UACGAAGGGAGCUAGCGUUGUUCGGAAUCACUGGGCGUAAAGCGCACGUAGGCGGAUUUGCCAGUCAGGGGUGAAAUCCCGGGGCUCAACCUCGGAACUGCCUUUGAUACAGCAAGUCUUGAGUUCGAGAGAGGUGGGUGGAAUUCCUAGUGUAGAGGUGAAAUUCGUAGAUAUUAGGAAGAACACCGGUGGCGAAGGCGGCCCACUGGCUCGACACUGACGCUGAGGUGCGAAAGCGUGGGGAGCGAACGGG